GACGAACGCUGGCGGCGUGCUUAACACAUGCAAGUCGAACGGAAAGGCCCUGCUUUUGUGGGGUGCUCGAGUGGCGAACGGGUGAGUAACACGUGAGUAACCUGCCCUUGACUUUGGGAUAACUUCAGGAAACUGGGGCUAAUACCGGAUAGGAGCUCCUGCUGCAUGGUGGGGGUUGGAAAGUUUCGGCGGUUGGGGAUGGACUCGCGGCUUAUCAGCUUGUUGGUGGGGUAGUGGCUUACCAAGGCUUUGACGGGUAGCCGGCCUGAGAGGGUGACCGGCCACAUUGGGACUGAGAUACGGCCCAGACUCCUACGGGAGGCAGCAGUGGGGAAUAUUGCACAAUGGGCGGAAGCCUGAUGCAGCAACGCCGCGUGCGGGAUGACGGCCUUCGGGUUGUAAACCGCUUUCGCCUGUGACGAAGCGUGAGGGACGGGAAUGGGUAAAGAAGCACCGGCGAACUACGU
rnacentral:rRNA from 1 species